rnacentral:rRNA from 1 species
UGGGGAAUAUUGGACAAUGGGCGAAAGCCUGAUCCAGCCAUGCCGCGUGUGUGAAGAAGGUCUUCGGAUUGUAAAGCACUUUAAGUUGGGAGGAAGGGCAGUAAGCGAAUACCUUGCUGUUUUGACGUUACCGACAGAAUAAGCACCAGCUAACUCUGUGCCAGCAGCCGCGGUAAUACAGAGGGUGCAAGCGUUAAUCGGAAUUACUGGGCGUAAAGCGCGCGUAGGUGGUUCGUUAAGUUGAAUGUGAAAGCACCGGGCUCAACCUGGGAACUGCAUCCAAAACUGGCGAGCUAGAGUAGGGCAGAGGGUGGUGGAAUUUCCUGUGUAGCGGAGAAAUGCGUAGAUAUAGGAAGGAACACCAGUGGCGAAGGCGACCACCUGGGCUCAUACUGACACUGAGGUGCGAAAGCGUGGGGAGCAAACAGG